ACAUCAGUCCGGCUGGCGAGGUCAUCAGCUGUUUUAACCUAACCUAGCUGUGCCUGUCGUGGAUGAGCUCUCAUUACUACCGAUGGCAAACCUUUGGUACAGCUCUUUAAAGUACUCUGGAGUAUAUUGAUGCAAUACAUUACAAGGCCCAAUACUUGGAGUUGGCAGUAGAGCACCUGCAUUAACAUCACUUGACUCUUCACUGUGGAGACGGGAUAAAAAUGGAUGAAUCACACCUGGCCAUCACGCCUCAGGUUGCAGGGAGAAGGCUCCUCCUUUCUGAACACACAGGCAGAAGUUGCUCGAUGCAGGACUGUCCAGAGACUCAGCUAAGUAUGGAAACAGAGGACGCCAGGCUUAGAGAAGAAUGACCUCCAGGGGGAUGAACAACUCACUGUAGAAACCACAGUGCCAAAUGCGCAUCCACCAGAUACAUGGACCAGACAUCAUACCACUGACUCUACUGCACUGGGAGCCUGAACUAUAAGUUCCAUCCUCCAAGGAGACUCAGAAGUCCUCAUCAGGAGAGAAUCAGGAAAAAAACAGCUCUGGUGAGUACAUUCCUCCUGCUCCAUCCUGACCUCCUGACUUCUACUCAGAAUGAGAAAAAGAUAUAAAGGAACAAGCAGAGCAAAGAGAGAAGUGUUAGAAAUACACAUGCCACGUGCACGUGUUGCACCUUUGAUCUUUCAUCCCACUAAGAAGGACUUCGCAACUUCACAGUUCUCUCUGCUUCAAAUUUCACGAGUGGUUGAGUUACAUGCAUAGGAUCAGCAAAGGCACCAUUUUUUACUAAAGAAAAUGAUUUUACAGUUAAGUUCAGAAUGCUGUAAAAUUAAUAAGCUUUCCCUCUUAACAGGCUGAUUGCCAGGAUGACAUCUACAAGAAUGGACUGGGAUUUUUCUCAUGAGCUCACUAUCUUUUGCAUUUUUUGGUUAUUUCAGGGUUGCACUCUAUUUUAGUGACACCAUAAUACAUCCAUGGUCAGAAGGCACUGCCAUCAAGGAUAAAAUUUAAGACCAGUGGAAUUCAAUGAGUAUGGCAUAAUCCCCCAGUUAGCUGAAUUCUGUGUUGUAACAGGUCAAGACAAAACCAAAAACUUAAAAUUUUCCCCAAACUGCAAAACUAAUCAUGCAUGGCAUUUAAAUUAUCAUUUUAGUCAAUUUUGGUCUCUGGAAAUGUGAAAUACUAAGCAUAAGAGCAUAAAGAGGGAACUAAGGGGUCAAAACUAGUAGGUCUGACCUCCAUGCUGACCUAGCCAGUACUAACGGAGAAUUGACUAAAUUCCUAAAAGAACAAACAAACAGACAAGAAAAGGAUAUUUCAUCAGUUUUCAUAACGAUGAAGAAUUGAUGACUCACGGAGUAAUAUUUGAACAGAACACCAUUUUCUCAACCAGCUCAUAACUUCCUUUGCAUGGCAGGAAGACUUGAAAUGGAUCCCAUUGGUUCAGCGUAAUUUAAUUUGAUGUAGUCACUCGCUAGCUUCUAGAAAGAAAACUCUAGCCGAUGCCUGCAGAAACGUGCAGAGCAAGCUACUAGCAAAGCCAGUAACGUACCUGGCAUAACUUGUUAGUUCCCAUGCAAAGAACAUGCUGAAGGUUAGGGUUUUUUUUAUAUAUUUUUUUCUUUAAUGUCAUUUAAAAAAAUGUUAGUAAGCUGUUUUGAGUUCUGGAUACUCCCCAAAGCACUAGUGAAUUCAGAGACCACAGAACUACAGAGAUCACUCUCACAGGCUUAAAUGUGCUCUACAGGCAUUCCUUCCACCACUACACAUUUUUUCUGAGUCUGCAAAGUGAAAGGUUGGAAGUCCCUUUUCCAACAAUGAAAUGAAUGCUUAAGGCCCUCAGCAAAGAUCUGGUUAAAGGAGUUGUGAGUAACGCUGUGUUUAUGACAAAAAUAGUCUAGCAAUGAAAAGAAACAGCACACGCACACACCUGUUUGUGUAUAUAUAUAUAUAUACACACACAAUAUAUACAACAGAUAUAUAUAUAUAUAUAUAUAAUCUGUUUUUAGAAGUUAAAAAUCACUUAGCAUUGUUCAUUAAUUUUAGAAGGUGGCAUACCCCUAGUUACCUAAAUACUGUCUUGUAUAGAAGAUGGGACAUCAAACGCCAAUACCCAGAACGUUUUAUCAUGCAGAAGUUUUAACCACAGAAUCUCUAUUAACACUUUCAAUUUGAUUCAGAAGACACUUUCCCUGGGGCCACCUUCUUAUUCUUUUUUAACAGAUACUAAGCAAAUCAACACUAGGAAAUUUAUAUUUCAGCAUUAUCUUGCUUGCUUUAUAUGCUGUGGGUUUUUAAAAAAAGGGGCAAUGACAAUAGGAGAUGCAGAGUUUGUAUUUGAAGACUUAAUAAAAAAUAGCAUCAUAAGUUCCAUUUUCUCUUUUUAUUAUUAGACUGUGGUCCAGCAAAAGGAUUUGCCCUCUUGUAUGUACAUAUAUUAACAAGAUUGUUUUAUUUGUUAUGUUUUUCCCUGAGUCCACAUGUUCACAAAAACACAGAUUUCAGUAAGAACACCUAACAUUCCUCAUUCCUGUCUUGCUUUAGAAAGGCUUCAGAGACAAAAAUAAGUACGUUCUCGGAUGACACCUCCAGCCUAGGACCCACUCAGGGUUGCUACAGCCAGCUCCUCGUGCAUAGACAGUGGUCUGGCUGAGAAGCCACAUAUGUGUAGUUGCUGCCAACCCUUUCUCCUGUGCUGUUGUGGAAUCACCCAGCAAUGGAGCUUGGGCUGCAGCAUCACUGGCACAUCGGCAGUACCUAAUCCUUCAUCUCCUCUGCCUCGAACUUCAACAGCACCAUCCCCUCUGUCCCUAUGAAAUUGAUACUCGGCUGAAAAAGACACCAAGACAAACUUGGGGGAAGAAAGAAUGAGGUUUUGCAGUGAGAAAUCAAAAAACAUUCUCUGACAUUACUAAGAUGCACUCGAGAUUAUACGCCCUCAGAAAGCCCCACGUAUCGUCUCUCACCAACCUACUGAAAGGUCAUAAACAUUUUGAUAUUACAAGUCACACACUGAAUCAACAUGCAGAUGGGACCAGAACAUGCCACGGCUUUCUGCAUGCUUUUUAUGCUGAAUUUCAGUUACUUUCAUCUUCUCAUACUGAAGAGCAAAGCAAAUCUUCCCUCAACUGCUCAGCAAGUGCUGUGAAUGAGACGUUUCACCUGCUACAAUCCACAGCACCAUCCAUCACAGCAACUGCUGCCCACACCAGUGCCUGGGAUGGGUGGUUGCUCCACACACACACCAUAAAGUCACUGACACUGUCCCUGACAGUGAAUGUAAUGUGAUUGCACUGGGAAGAGUACACUGUUUGGCUGUAGGCAACUGAAGCUCUUCCUGAACCAGCAGAAGCAUCACCACCUUUGUGUUAGCAAUCCCUGAUGGACCUUUGUCCCACUAAUCUCUCAAAUCACUGCUUUAACCUAUUUAUUCAAACUGCCUGCAGCGAUGUGCCAUGGUGUAAUUAUUUUGUUUUUCCCCCUCUAACAGUGCUUCCUCUUUCCUGUUUUUACAUCCUGAAGACUUCAUUUGGUAUAUUAUUGAAAAAGAAACCUUAAUUUGCUCUGUGCCCUCCUCACCAUUUGUGCCUCCGCAGAGAGCUAUCAUAUUUAAUCUCCCCCUUCUGAAAUCUAUUGUUUAAGAUGAAAAACUUUUCUGUCCUCAGAUGAAAAAUAUUUCAAUGACGCCUGUUCCAGUUUUCAGCUUUUUAUCCCAAUUCUGCUAUAUCUUCCUUCUUAUACGGUGGCCCAAAAUGCAUGCAGUUUUCAAGAUCUCCAUGGGUCCAUUAAACAGCCUGAUAGGUUGUUCCCCCCCGCCCCCCCUUUCCCUUUUAGCUCUUUCUACCCGUUCCUAAUAUUGUUGUACUUGCCUUUUUGACCUCCAUUGAGUAUCAGGCUGACAUUUUCACAGAACCAUUCACAAUGAGUCCAGGAUCCUUCCUGAGUGAUAAUAGGUAAUUUAGAGCGCAUCACUGUGUAUGUAUAAUUAGUUGUUUUUCUCCGUGUGCAUUAUUUUGCAUUUAUCGAUUCCAAAUUUCAUCUGCCAUUUUCUCACUCAGUCACGCAGAAUUGCAAGAUCUUCUGCACUGCUUCUCAGCCAGCUUUAGCUUUGAUGUCUGCGAGCUUUAUCAUUCCCUCCGUUCUCCCCAGAUUGCUUUUAAACAUAGAGCACAGAGACAGCUGCACUGUGUCAGAUCAGUGCUCCUCCUAACCAAGCGUUCUGUGCAAUAUUGACUAAAAAGAAAGAUGCUUAAGCAACAGCACCAGAACACAGCUCUGGAAGACUCUUCACUCUCAGCCCCUCCUGAGUUUGUACAGUGUGUCUUUCUACUCUUGAUGGCUGUUUUUUUCUUAAUGUUCUUUCUUUAUACCUGCUGAUGGCUCUCUUUUCCAUGCAGUUGUUUACUCUCUCCUUGGAUUCAGGCAAACUUCUAGCAUUCAUAAUGUCCUUGGGCAUUCACAGGAAUUCAUAGCUUAGCUACACGUUGUGCAAAGAAACCACCUCCUCUUGUUCUGAACCCGACACCCACAAGCUUCCUCUGGAACAGCAAACGCUCAGUCCCCAGUCAGUCUGUAAUGACACCCAGGACUUGGUGGAUUUCUGUCAUAUCAGCAUUUUUGAAGACUGAGCCAUGUUAUCCAUAUCAGAACAGGCUAAUUCUUUGGGCUCAGGCCCAAAAUUUAACAAGAGAUCAAAAGGACUACAACAACCAGACAGGACAUCAAGAUCACCCAGUGCUCUUCUGGGUAAAAAGGGAUGUCAUAUUUUCUCUCUCCUACUUAACCUACCAGCUCUCAGACAAAUGAGAUCUAUGACAUAUCAGUGAGGUUCUCAUCCCAGGAACAUUCACAAUGCUUCUGCAACAGCUGCAUUUCAACAAUCAACAACACAUCUGUAAAAAGUACUACAUUAAGGAGACGUAGAAAAAUAAAAGUGAAGUUAAAAUUUAAGAAAACUCUUCUGUGUUGCUCUUGUACUUAGCUUUCUAUUGUCUUCUCUUCAACUGGUAUUUUUCCUCACUCAAAGAACAAGCUCAAUUAGCAUUUUUAUUUAUCACUGGCCAGGAGAUUGAAAGCUCUCAGUAUGGGAACCACACAAAAGACUCCUAAGAGCUGUAUAGGAACAGUGGACAAAAUUACACUAUUUUUUUUUUUCCUAUACUUCCACAUACGUUGUUAUACUUGGAGUUCUUUUUAAAAAGAAACUGAGAUCAUCC